UACGUAGGGUGCAAGCGUUAUCCGGAAUUAUUGGGCGUAAAGAGCUCGUAGGCGGUUUGUCGCGUCUGCUGUGAAAACCCGAGGCUCAACCUCGGGCCUGCAGUGGGUACGGGCAGACUAGAGUGCGGUAGGGGAGAUUGGAAUUCCUGGUGUAGCGGUGGAAAUGCGCAGAUAUCAGGAGGAACACCAAUGGCGAAGGCAGAUCUCUGGGCCGUAACUGACGCUGAGGAGCGAAAGCAUGGGGAGCGAACAGG
rnacentral:rRNA from 1 species